GAAAGCUACUGUCAUUUAAAGAACGCGAUACUCCUUUCAAAACAAAUUUUGGAUCUAGACCUUUAGAUCAAGAUGUCUAACCAAAUUUAAAUUUAUUUCAUUUUUAACUUGAAAAAUUAUAAUGGUCAAACUAGAGUGCUCCUCUCUGGCCAGCGAGCUAGUAAACCUUGCCUGGUUGUUAUUGGUGGUGCAAUAUCACGCUCACUAGACUCGCGGUCUUUUCACCACUAGAUCUGCAAUGUCUACACCUGUUAGAUCAUCAGCUUCGACUGGAUCAGCAGCGUCACCAAACCUGAGCCUACAACGCCUGAACUCCCCCCCCCCUUCUGUCAGCGAGAAGGAAUCUCAGUAGUGCCCACUAUAAACGACCUAAAGCUCAGUGCCCACUACCAAUUACCUACGGUCCAGUGCCCAGAUACUUGCCCAGUGUUCAGCGCCUACUGUCCAGCAUAAGCUGCCCAGUCUAUGCUCCAGCUGUCCGCUGCCCAAUAUCUAUUGCCAACAACCUACGGUCCUGAGAAUACCCUUCCCACCUUUCGCUACAGACGUACUCCUUUUCGACUCAAGCCUCAUCCCUCUACUAGAAGAUUCAGCUCUUGCAUCUACCAAACGAGUCCAGCGGCCAACCGACCAACGAAAAAAGAUUAGAACUAAAAAUAGAAACACUUAUCCACUCCUUCAUAUGCAAUCAAUGAUGAAAUUAAUCCACCAGAAUCCUUUUUGACACACUACCCAAGCUAGUAGUGAUAUUGUUGUAAAAUUAAAUUGUUUUUUUUUUUUAUUCAA